rnacentral:rRNA from 1 species
UACAGAGGUCUCAAGCGUUGUUCGGAUUCAUUGGGCGUAAAGGGUGCGUAGGCGGCGCGGUAUGUCGGGUGUGAAAUUUCGGAGCUUAACUCCGAAACUGCAUUCGAUACUGCCGUGCUUGAGGACUGGAGAGGAGACUGGAAUUUACGGUGUAGCGGUGAAAUGCGUAGAUAUCGUAAGGAAGACCAGUGGCGAAGGCGGGUCUCUGGACAGUUCCUGACGCUGAGGCACGAAGGCCAGGGGAGCAAACGGG